rnacentral:rRNA from 1 species
CUGAUUAUAUUAAAGAGCCGCAGUAUUCUGACUGUGCGAAGGUAGCAUAAUAAAUUGUCUUUUAAAUGGAGGCUUGAAUGAAAGGUUGGACAAAGUAUCAUCUGUUUCUUAAAUAUUUAUUGAAUUUGACUUUCAAGUGAAAAGGCUUGAAUAAAUUAAAAAGACGAUAAGACCCUAUAAAUCUUUACAAUAAACAUGUUCUAUAUUUUAAUUUAUAAGUAUAUAAAAUAUUAAAUUUGUAUUUGUUUCGCUGGGGCGGCGUGGAUAUAUUAAUAAACUGUCUAUGUGUUAAAUCCAAUAAUUAUUGAUUAGUGAAAUUGAUCCUUAAAUAGAUUAAAAGAUUAAGAUACUUUAGGGAUAACAGCGUUAUUUUUUUUGAGAGUUCUUAUCGAAGAAAAAGUUUGCGACCUCGAUGUUGAAUUAAAGUAUCUUUAUGGUGCAGCCGCUAUAAGAGAGAGUCUGUUCGACUUUUAAUACUUUACAUGAUCUGA